AUACAUUAAUAAGCACAUCGUAUAACGUUGAAAAUAUGGUUCAACAGUUUCUACCAAAUCACCAUAAAUGAUUUGACUACGAUAGAUAUG
rnacentral:ncRNA from 1 species